CCGAAGAAACCGAAGAAACCGAAGAAACCAAAGAAAAUAACGCAAGGAUCAAAUAUGUCCUGGAGGAAGAGGGACCUGGAUGGGAACAUUCUACCCCAACAUUGGAAUAAGAAUCGAUCUGUUAAACCUUCCAGCUCUCUGGAGUCCCCAGAGGUCGAGGAGACACAUGAGAUUCCUCUACAGGUCCCAAGUCUUGAUCAACAUCUUCUCACACUGAGAAACCUGUUGGGUUCUCUCACUGUCCCUGCAUCAUCAGAAGAAACACCCACUGUAACAACAUGGACCCAAAGACAGUUGAAACGUGAAAAAAAUUCAGAGCUGCAAUGCCAGAGCUCC